rnacentral:lncRNA from 1 species
AAAUAAAUAAGCAUAAAUAUGGGUUGUAUUUACGAUGGUGUUUGUUCUUCCUGGUUGACCUUUUCUUGUGGCAACAGGUCACACAUCUUGCUGCGGUGAUGGUACACUGGGAUUUCACCCAAUAGAUAGGGGAGUUUAUCAAAAUCGGGUUUGUUUUCGAAUUCUUUGAGGGUCUGUGUAAUCUGAUGGAAAUAUGUGUCUCUAAUAUGGUCAUACAUUUGGCAGGAGGUUAGAAAGUGCAGCUCAGUUUCCACCUCAUUUUGUGGGAAGUGUGCACAUAGCCGGUCUUCUCCAUCAGUGUUUUAUUCUAGGCUUCUACACUGCGAGAGAGCAGACACACCUCUCGAAAAUCGAAGGAGACUUGAUACGGCACUUCUGAUAUCUCGCCUGGAACUUCCUCUUUUAUAGCAGGUAGACUACUACUGUAGUAUUAACGCGCCUGUAUAUGUUGAACAGCUACUUAUUUGCCCCAGUAUCUGUGCUUUAGAGAUGUCGACGAUACACGUCAUACUCAUCGUCGACAUCUCUAACGCACAAAUACUGGCGCACUAGCAUACUUAUUAUUUGCUUAUGCUACCGUCUAUUUGUUCUUGCCGUUGGUCGGUGUCAGUAAAUGAAGGCCAAAGGGAAUUGUUGAAUCGUUCGUAUUAAAUAGCUUCUGCAUUUCGCUGAGCCAGCGUUUAUUUGGGAUAAGCAGAGAGGGGACACCUGUGGCUUUGUGGUAAGUUGGCAGCAGUUUUACAAUACUCCGCUUUUCCUGGCCACAGUAAUAACCUACAGCGUGGUGAUAUAAAUUGUAUUAUAGCGCAGUAAUUGUAUGGAUAUUAACAUGUAGCCUUUCAGCUUACCCUGAACAUUUUGUAUAAUAUAAUAGUAAACACAGGAUAUCUCAUAGUGUCGGUUUAUAGAUAGAGAAGUAGGUUGCAGAUCUGCAGACAGCAUUUCGCAGAGGCAGACAUCGCGAUGAAGGACAUUUCGAGGGUUAUGGUGUACGGGUUUCCGACCGACCAUCAUCAAAAGCGACUGAACGAAGGAGGCCACGCGAGUCAAUGCAAUGGAGCUCCAGAGGUAACGUUAACCGGUCAUGACUGUUGACUAGGCUAGCGUUAGACACUGGACAACUUUGUUGCAACUCUAGUUGAAGGUAACUAGCUAAUUGCAUCUGAAGUGUUUUGUGUAACCCCCCCCCCAGCAAAUAAGGUUAGCAAGCAACUCAAUUGUAACUAAAAUUGCAACACAGUUUAUCCGUGUACCCCUGUUAUUAGGUAACGUUAGUUACUGUAGCUAGCUCCCACCUCAGAUAGUCAAGUACUGUAAUACAUUUUGUUGACAGAUUUGUUUUUGUAAUGUUUUGUUAACUCCACCUCAUUUAGCUAGACUGAAGUUGACAUAACUAAUGUUUGCUGAUAAAGACAUGUCCCUGUAUUUGCUGUGUGUGUGUGUGUGUGUGUGUGUUGAUAAAGCAUACAACAGGUAGCUUGUUAAUGCCAACUGAUAUAUGUGGGUUCAGUUGUCUUAACAAAACGUUUGCUUGUUUUCAGGAUGACAUCUUCAUCCCUGAAAAUGUUUUCAUCCUGCAGGAGGCAGGGGGUACAUGCAAAUCCAUGUUAUUUCUAAAGCUAUUGUUUAUUUCAAGUAUAUGCAGUGAUUUGAAUAUAACUAUAGCCUAAUAGAUGCAUUAAUUGUUUUCUACCAACAGGAAAGAACGGUUAGUACAGCAUGCCAAACUGACCCCUGGGUGGCAGAGUGUUCCUGUGCUGCGGUGGAGAAGAGGUCCACCGGGACCAUCACCAAAGAGCUCAGGGCCCAGCUAGAUUGCGCUCACGACCAUCAGUAUACAAUCGAGUCCUGCCCCUAUUUGCCACAGAUGGAGCUGAUGGAGAGUGAGAUCAGUGAAGACCAUAACUCGCUGAGAGCUCAGAAUCACACUCAUCACAGUGCGAGCCAAAAUAUACUAUCGAUCACUUUGGGGGAGCGGGAUGGUGUUCCGAAAAUGGAGAAGGAGCAGGCCAUUCAACAGCCAAUUCAAAGAUACACCCAUCCAUAAAGGGAAUUGGAGUGGAAUUAUUUUUUCAAAUAUGUUUUUUUACCCGUUUCAAUGGACGUGCUUCCUUGUCCUGGUUCUGCUGUUUCGACACUCUCUCAACCUAUUAUUGCUCAGCUAUGAAAAGCCAACUGACAUUUGCUCCUGAGGUGUUGAACUGUUGCACCCUCUAUAACCACUGUGGUUAUUAUUUUGAUGUAAAAAGGGCUUUUGUCAAUAUAUAUUUGAUUGAUUGAUUGUUUGCUGUGCUGGAUGCUGUGUAUUCACUAACUGUCUGAGUGAUGGAACAUUUUUGUAGUAUCUGUAACAUAUUUUGGUGUGUAUUUAAUGCAUCUUAACUUCUUUCCUUCAAAUAAUUUUAGAUGAUUUAUUGACUGGCUAUGGCUUUCCAGAUCACCCAACACUGCUAUUUGUAAGGUUAAUUUUAAGUGCAUGUUGUGAUUUUUUUUUUUACCAUUCCUGAACCUGUGACCAGAAACAAGCUACGUAGGGGCAAUACCAGAAUAAGUGAUCUACUGAUUCAGUCUCUUAGCUGCUCCCAUUACCUCACUGCUGAAGGGGGGUCCUGUAGUCUGCAGUGGUCGGUUGAGGCAGACAGGACUUUUGGGCAACUAAGAGUUUACCUCGGCUCCCGUGCUGGCCCAUCCGGAUCCCUCUUUGGCAUUCAUAGUGGAGGUGGACGCGUCCGAGGCUGGGAUUGGAGCUGUGCUCUCUCAGCGCUCGGGCACGCCACCAAAGCUCCGCCUCUGUGCUUUCUUCUCGAAGAAGCUCAGCCCGGCGGAGCGGAACUAUGAUGUGGGGGACCGGGGGCUGUUGGCUGUGGUUAAGGCUUUGAAGGCGUGGAGACAUUGGCUUGAGGGGGCUAAACACCCUUUCCUCAUCUGGACUGACCACCGCAACCUGGAGUACAUCCGUGCAGCUAGGAGACUGAAUCCUCGUCAGGCAAGGUGGGCCAUGUUCUUUACCCGUUUUGUGUUUACCCUGUCCUACAUACCAGGUUCCCAGAAUGUGAAGGCAGACGCACUGUCCCGGCUGUAUGACACAGAGGAGUGGCCCAUGGAUCAGACUCCCAUUCUCCCGGCCUCCUGCCUGGUAGCGCCGGUCGUGUGGGAGCUGGACGCGGACAUUGAGCAGGCGUUGCGUACAGAGACCGCUCCACCCCAGUGUCCCGUUGGGCGUCAAUACAUUCCGUCUGCUGUCCGUGACCAGUUGAUCUAUUGGGCCCACACAUCACCCUCCUCUGGUCAUCCGGGGAUCGGUCGGACGGUGCGCUGUCUGACUGGGAAGUACUGGUGGCCCACCUUGGCUCGGGACGUGAGGGUUUAUGUUUCCUCCUGCUCGGUGUGCGCCCAGUGUAAGGCUCCUAGACACCUGCCCAGAGGGAAGCUACAUCCCUUACCCGUUCCACAACGGCCUUGGUCACACCUGUCGGUGGAUUUUCUAACGGAUCUUCCUCCCUCACAGGGAAACACCACGAUCCUGGCCAUUGUGAAUUGUUUCUCUAAGUCCUGUUGUCUCCUCCCUCUGCCCGGUCUCCCUACGGCCCUACAAACUGCGGAGGUCCUGUUUACACACGUCCUCCGGCACUACGGGGUGCCUAAGGAUAUAGUGUCUGAUCGAGGUCCCCAGUUCACUUCGAGUCUGGAGGGCGUUCAUGGAACGUUUGGGGGUCUCGACCUGCCGGAAGCUGGGCCCACGGUUUGUCGGGCCAUUCAAAGUCCUGAGGAGAGUGAACAAGGUAUGUUACAGGUUACAGCUUCCCCCCGAUUACCAUAUUAACCCCUCGUUCCAUGUCUCUUCUCAGGCCGGUGGUGGCUGGUCCGCUCCAGGAGUCUAAGGUACGGGAGGUUCCUCCGCCCACUCUGGACAUCGAGGGGGCCCCGGCGUACUCCGUCCGUUCCAUCCUGGAUUCGAGGCGUCGGGCCUUCAGUACCUCAUGGAGUGGGAGGGGUACAGUCCGGAGGAGAGGUGCUGGGUUCCAGUGGCUGAUGUAUUGGACCCUGAACUGCUGCGUGAGUUCCACCGUCGCCGGCCGGAUCGCCCUGCACCUCGCCCUCCGGGUCGUCCCCGAGGCCGGUGUCGACGCACCGCUGGAGCCGCGCGUCGGGGGGGGAGUACUGUCACGACUUCCGCCGAAGUCGUCGACUCCUUGUUUGGGCGGCGGUCGACGUCACCGACUUUCUAGCUAUCGCCGCUCCAUUUUUCAUGUAUCCAUUUGUUUUUUCUUGUUCCCUGCACACCUGGUUUUCAUUCCCCAAUCAAUCUACAUGUAUUUAUUCCUCUGUUCCCCAUCAUGUCUUUGUGAAAGAUUGUUUGUGUUACAUGUUUAUUGUUGACGUGCUAGACUGGUUUGUUUUUUUCUGUGGUAUUUUUCACGAAGAUGUUUAUUGUUAAACAUAAUUCUUGUGACUGUUUUGCGCAUUUUGCCCUUUUGCCUCAGUGUGCGCCUGUUCACAAAUCUCUGCUCUCCUGCACCUGACCUCGUUACCAGUACACACACACCUGACAACCAUCCGCCCAUUUUAUUGGUAAACUACAAGGUACUGUAUACAGUGUAUUUUUUUACGAUCCAAUACGUAAUAUGGUACACUUGUCAUAAUUAGGGUUUAAUCCAGAUUGGCUAGAAAAGUGAUCAAGAUCUUCAAUGAGAUUGUGCAGGGAUCCAGAUUGCGGACUUAAGAAAAAAAUAGUCAUCAGCAUACAUUGACACUUUUGUUUAUAUCCCCUGGAUUUCUAACCCCUUGAUGUUCUUGUUGGAUCUAAUGUUAAUAGCUAGCAUUUCAAUGGCAAUAAUAAAUAAAUAUGGAGACAACAGACAGCCUUGCUUUACUCCUCUUAAAAGCUCAUUACUUUCUGAGAAGUAACCAUUGGUUACUAUUUUACAUCUGGGGUUGCUAUACAUAACUUUAACCCAUUGUAUAAGAGAUUCACCAAAAUUAAAGUAUUCCAGGCAUUUAUAUACAAAUUCUAAUUGUACUUUAUCAAACGUCUUUUCAAAAUCUGCUAUGAAGACCAAACCUGGUAUCUUCAAUGUUUCAUAAUGUUCAAUUGUUUCAAGUAAUUGUCAUAUUAUCUCCAAUAUAUCGUCCAUGUAAAAAAACUUUAUUCUAUAUGCUAUGCAUUUCACAUCAUAAAAUUGAAGUGUUAGAGGCUUCCAGUUUUUUAAACGGACUGGAUCUUUAUACUUACAAUCUGGGUCCUGUUUUAGUAGUAAUGAAAUCAGACCUUGUUGAGUACCUGAAAGUCUACCAUUAACUUCUUAAAGUGUCAAUCAGCAGUAGAAACAAUAACAAAGUGUCACCAAUGCUCCUCUUUUGGUAAAAAGCUGAGGGAUGGGGCUGGAAAAAUAUAACCACUCAAAUUCAUAGACAGCGCUAUAGAUGCAAGGAAUGGCCAUCCAUGAUAUCAGCAUUGUAAUCCUGUUUCUAUUAUCUUUUUCCACUACCAUGUACCCAGUUCGCUUUGGAUGAAAGUGUCUGCUAAAUGGCAAAUAUUAUUAAAGUCUACUUUGACUCUGCAACUAGCUGCCCAGUGUAGUUACCAUUCCUUUCCAAUAGAUGGCAGCCAAAGCUAGUUGAAGUCAUUACUCUAGUGACAGAGACACGGGAUUAGAAGGCACUGAAAGUAGUUUUAUCUUCAAAUGAAGUUUAUUUGGUUACGCUUGAACCUGUUGUUAUAGUGGACAAGUUAACCAAUACUAUUUUACAUAAGGCGCAGACAUUAGAUCUGGGUCUUAGGCUAGGCUAGAUUUACUCAAUGAACUGGUUUUAUUUAACAUUUUAUUCAAUGCCUUUGCUUCUGGCUAUGUGUGCAUUAUGGAAGAAAUGACACACGCAGGAAUGAGACGCCUUACACCUUGUCCAAUUCUCUCUUGUGCCCAUAGGGUGAACUGGCGAUAAACUGCCAGCCUGUAUGCUCUGCAAACAAAAUCAUAAGAAAAGUUAGUCUGAUACCGAAACAAUAUCACAAUGUAUUGUGGUGUACAGCAGGUGAGCCACCAGGGGGAGACUCGUCGAGGCCUGGUGGCAGACGGUGAUUACAUCACGAGGCGAUGGCGCCCUCUGCAGGACGUGCCAGGUCUUGACGGGCUCUCUGGCCAGGACUAAUUGGGGCUGAUUGUGGUUGGUGGGUAAUCAAGGGCUGAUUUGCUCACCAGCUAGCUGUACGAGUCCCAUAAAGUUGCCAGAAGGGCAGCACACAAGGAGAGGUACUGGGGAAGAAGGGUGACUUCCGUAUAGUUGGAGACGUUGCCCGAGCUAAAAGGAGGGAGUUCAGUUUUUGUGCCCGACAGGAUACAGCAAGACCCGGAGCCCAGAAGACGGUAUCCCGGAGAGGGUCUCAUGGGGGAGACCUAUCAUUUUCUUUAGAUGUAUUAUUUAAAUAAACACCCUUGAAACUGAGAUAAUCCUACUGAUCUGUGUCUGAUCUGUGUAAACGUCUUGACCAAACCCUCUGGUCUGCCACAGUAUUUAUAAUGAGCACGCCCCAUUGCUGGUUAGAACGAGAUUUCAUGAAUCAUGACGCUGUCUGCGAUUGGAACUCUGGUCGUCUAAUCUAAAGGUAAAUGUGUUACCAAUGCACCAAACAGCGCUGAUGAUAAACGUCGUUAUAGGAUACUGAUUAUAUAUAUUGACCACCGACACGUCCAAUAAAUACAUUGCCAUCCAGACAGGCUGACAGGAACCUCUGACAGUAUGUAAUACAGCCACCAUCCGCUGGGAUUUUGUGCUGUAUCGCCACCACCUCUCUAUAACACACACACACUUCUACUCUAGCAAUUACCUGGCAUCAUCCCCACAAACACCACUUUGUGUUUGGCUACGCCGACUCUCUGGCUGAGGUGUUUCAGGCGGCAUAUCUGUGUUGUUACUGCUACGAGAACGAACUCUUGAUCUGGUGCAACGAUCGGCUCAAACAUGACCAGCUUCAGUAGAUUUAUUGGCUCCCUAAUUAACAUUUUUCAUUCUCAGACUUGAAGCUACUCGGUAAAUUAAGCUAUUUUUGGGAGUUCCAAAAUGUUCUCUCCUGCUAGUGACGCAACAAUGCCAAUAUGGCGAUUUACAGUUACAGUUAGCUGACGUUCAAAAUCAUAGGGUUUCCAUUCCCCUUUAAGCCUGUGUGCGCUGUACUGUGUUCGUGCCAGGGCCCGGACUUGAACCCGAUCGAAAAUCUCUUGAGAGACCUGAAAAUUGUGUAGCGAUGCUCCCCAUCCAACCUGACAGAGCUUGAGAGGAUUUGCAGAGAAAAAUGGCGGAAACUCCCCAAAUACAGGUGUACCAAGCUCAUACCCAAGACUCAAGCGUCAUACCCAAGAAGACUCAAAUGGCUCUGGCUUGCUGAUGUCAUCUGAUCUGAUGAGACUCCCUAUGUGAUUUGACUCCUGUAUUACUGACUGUAUUCAACGACAAAAAAACAUCCAAUGCCGAAUAUAGAUCAUUUGGGAUUCUGUAAUUGAUAGACGAUGGUGUCAAAUCCAAUUCAAAAGCAUGAGAUGGCACGCACGAGCAAGAUGCGCGACCAAACACUGAGUUAAGAGAGAAGAAAUGUGGUCCAGCGAGAAGAGGAUGGGUCCCCUGCACAGGUCAGGGAGAAUUCAGAGGACAGUGCUAAGUAUGGGAGGUGAGCAAGCGCCUGAAUGCUCAGCUGAAAGAGUCUGAGAAGAGACACCAGGAGGAGAAGGACUGAAUGCAGACUGAAAGCGGUGAGUUCAGCCGGCGUCUUGACAAGCAGUCGAAGCACCUGCAGCGAGUGGAGGGGUAGGCGGAGGAGCAAGGUCAGAGGCUGGAGGAGUUUAAGCGGCUGCUGGGGGGCAUGGAGCUGGAGGGUGUUGUCCUGAAAAAUGGCCGCCAGCGAGGCUGAACUGCUGCAGCUGAGAGCAGCCGGCGGUGGGGGGGGGGGACAGGAGAAAAAGCAGAGGUGAGGAGGCUCUGUCGCCAUAACGACUACAAAUCAGUCAUACAACUGAAACGUAGACUGUCUGCACAUAGUAUCUCAUAUACAACUCUACAUGAGUAUACAACAAUACAGUCCUCAGCAACAGACAUUGUAACAUUGCUAAUCUAGCCUACAACGUUCAUGAAUUGCCAUACUCACAAGUCCAAAAUUUGAAAAGAGUAUACAGCAUAUUUUUUAAGAUACUAAAAAGGAUACUGUAUGUACAGUGUAUUCGGAAAGUAUUCCGACUCCUUGACUUUUUCCACAUUUUGUUACGUUACAGCCUUAUUCUAAAAUGUAUUAAAUUGUUUUAUUUCCUCAUCAAUCUACACACAAUACCUCAUAAUGACAAAGUAAAAACAGGUUUUUAUGUUUGCAAAUUCAUAAAAAAAUUUAAAAUAAAAUAUCACAUAAGUAUUCAGACCCUUCACUCAGUACUUUGUUUUAGAACUUUUGGCAGCGAUUACAGCCUCGAGUCUUCAAGCUCUGUCAAGUUGGAUGGGAGGCAUCUCUGCACAGCUAUUUUCAGGUCUCUCCAGAGAUGUUCGAUCGGGUUCAAGUCGGGGCUCUAGCUGGGCCACUCAAAGACAUUCAGAAACUUGUCCCGAACCCACUCCUGCGUUGUCUUGGAUUAUGUGCUUAGGGUUGUUGUCCUGUUGGAAGGUGAACCUUCACCCCAGUCUGAGGUCCUGAGCACUCUGGAGCAGGUUUUCAUCAAGGAUCUCUCUGUACUUUGUUCCGUUCAUCUUUCCCUCGAUCCUGACAGCAUGAUGCUGCCACCACCAUGCUUCACUGUAGGAAUGGAAUUGGCUAGGUGAUGAGCGGUGCCUGCUUUCCUCCAGACGUGAUGCUUUCUCAUGGUCUGAAAGUCCUUUAGGUGCUUUCUGGCAAGCUUCAAGUGGGCUGUCAUGUGCCUUUUACUGAGGAGUGGCUUCCAUCUGGCCACUCUACCAUAAAGGCCUGAUUGGUGGAGUGCUGCAGAGAUGGUUGUCCUUCUGGAAGUUUUUCCCAUGUACACAGAUAAACUCUGGAGCUCUGUCAGCGUGACCAUCGGGUUCUUGGUCACCUCCCUGACCAAAGCCCUUCUCCGACCUCAUGGCUUGGUUUUUGCUAUGUCAUGCACUGUCAACUGUGGUACCUUACAUAGACAGGUGUGUGCCUUUUCAAAUCAUAUCCAAUCAAUUGAAUUUACCACAGGUCGAAUCCGAUCAAAUUGUAGAAACAUCUCAAGGAUGAUCAAUGAAAACUUGAUGCACCUGAGCUCAAUUUUGAGUCUCAUAGCAAAGGGUCUGAAUAGUUAUGUAAAUGUAUUUCUGUUUAAAAAUAUAUAUAUACACUGCUCAAAAAAAUAAAGGCAACACUUAAACAACACAAUGUAACUCCAAGUCAAUCACACUUCUGUGAAAUCAAACUGUCCACUUAGGAAGCAACACUGAUUGACAAUACAUUUCACAUGCUGUUGUGCAAAUGGAAGAGACAACAGGUGGAAAUUAUAGGCAAUUAGCAAGACACCCCCAAUAAAGGAGUGGUUCUGCAGGUGGGGACCACAGACCACUUCUCAGUUCCUAUGCUUCCUAGCUGAUGUUUUGGUCACUUUUGAAUGCUGGCGGUGCUUUCACUCUAGUGGCAGCUUGAGACGGAGUCUACAACCCACACAAGUGGCUCAGGUAGUGCAGCUCAUCCAGGAUGGCACAUCAAUGCGAGCUGUGGCAAGAAGGUUUGCUGUGUCUGUCAGCGUAGUGUCCAGAGCAUGGAGGCGCUACCAGGAGACAGGCCAGUACAUCAGGAGACAUGGAGGAGGCCGUAGGAGGGCAACAACCCAGCAGCAGGACCGCUACCUCCGCCUUUGUGCAAGGACGAGCAGGAGGAGCACUGCCAGAGCCCUGCAAAAUUACCUCCAGCAGGCCACAAAUGUGCAUGUGUCUGCUCAAACGGUCAGAAACAGACUCCAUGAGGGUGGUAUGAGGGCCCGACGUCCACAGGUGGGGGUUGUGCUUACAGCCCAACACCAUGCAGGACGUUUGGCAUUUGCCAGAGAACACCAAGAUUGGCAAAUUCGCGACUGGCGCCCUGUGCUCUUCACAGAUAAAAGCAGGUUCACACUGAGCAUGUGACAGACAUGACAACGUCUGGAGACGCCGUGGAGAACGUUCUGCUGCCUGCAACAUCCUCCAGCAUGACCGGUUUGGCGGUGGGUCAGUCAUGGUGUGGGGUGGCAUUUCUUUGGGGGGGCCGCACAGCCUUCCAUGUGCUCGCCAGAGGUAGCCUGACUGCCAUUAGGUAGCGAGAUGAGAUCCUCAGACCCCUUGUGAGACCA